GUCGAACGAUGAUUUCCGCAAGGAAUGAUUAGUGGCAAACGGGUGAGUAAUGCGUGAGAAUCUGCCUUUUUGUGGGGGAUAGCUAUGGGAAACUAUAGGUAAUACCGCAUGGUCUUAGAAAUAAGUAAAGACUUUUAGUCGCAGAAAGAUGAGCUCACGUCAGAUUAGGUAGUUGGUAGGGUAAUGGCCUACCAAGCCUGUGAUCUGUAGCUGGUCUGAGAGGAUGAUCAGCCACACUGGGACUGAGAUACGGCCCAGACUCCUACGGGAGGCAGCAGUGGGGAAUAUUGGACAAUGGGGGAAACCCUGAUCCAGCAAUGCCGCGUGAAUGAUGAAGGCCUUAGGGUUGUAAAGUUCUUUCGCUUAAGAAGAUAAUGACGUUAUUAAGAGAAGAAGCCCCGGCUAACUCUGUGCCAGCAGCCGCGGUAAUACAGAGGGGCUAGUGUUGUUCAGAAUUACUGGGCGUAAAGGGUGCGUAGGCGGUUCCUUAAGUGGAAUGUUAAAUGUACAGGCUUAACCUGAUACCUGCAUUCUAAACUGGGGUUCUAGAGUCUGGAAGAGGAAAGUGGAAUUUCUAGUGGAGAGGUGAAAUUCUUAGAUAUUAGAAGGAAGAUCAAUGGCGAAGGCAACUUUCUGGGACAGUACUGACGCUGAGGCACGAAAGCGUGGGGAGCAAACAGGAUUAGAGACCCUGGUAGUCCACGCCCUAAACGAUGAAUGCUAGUUGUUGGGAUUUACUCAGCAGCGAAGUUAACACGAUAAGCAUUCCGCCUGAGGAUUACGAUCGCAAGAUUAAAACUUAAAGAAAUUGACGGGGGCUCGCACAAGCGGUGGAGCAUGUGGUUUAAUUCGAAGAUACGCGCAAAACCUUACCAGCUCUUGACAUGCAAAUAGAGUCUCCUAGUAAUAGGAGAUGCGGUUCGGCCGGAUUUGCACAGGUGCUGCAUGGCUGUCGUCAGCUCGUGUCGUGAGAUAUUGGGUUAAGUCCCGCAACGAGCGCAACCCUCGUUCUUAGUUGCCAUCAGGUAAUGCUGGGUACUUUAAGAAGACUGCCAGUGAUAAGCUGGAGGAAGGUGGGGAUGAGGUCAGGUAUCAUGGCCCUUAUGGGCUGGGCUACACACGUGCUACAAUGGGAGUUACAAAGGGCAGCAAUGAGGCGACUCUGAGCCAAUCCUUAAAAGCUCUCUAAGUUCAGAUUGUUCUCUGCAACUCGAGAACAUGAAGUAGGAAUCGCUAGUAAUCGUAGAUCAGAACGCUACGGUGAAUACGUUGACGAGCCUUGUACACACCGCCCGUCAAACCAUGGGAGUUGGUGCAUCCUGAAUGCAGUGGAGCUAACAAGUUUACUUGAGGCAUCUGUUUAUGGAAGCAUUGAUGACUGGGGUUAAGUCGUAACAAGGUA
rnacentral:rRNA from 1 species